rnacentral:rRNA from 1 species
GACGUAGGGCGCGAGCGUUGUCCGGAAUUAUUGGGCGUAAAGAGCUCGUAGGCGGCUUGUUGCGUCGUCCGUGAAAUCCCGUGGCUCAACUGCGGGCUUGCGGACGAUACGGGCAGGCUAGAGUUCGGUAGGGGAGACUGGAAUUCCUGGUGUAGCGGUGAAAUGCGCAGAUAUCAGGAGGAACACCGGUGGCGAAGGCGGGUCUCUGGGCAACAACUGACGCUGAGGAGCGAAAGCGUGGGGAGCGAACAGG